ACGGAAGGCAGCAGUGGGGAAUAUUGCACAAUGGGGGAAACCCUGAUGCAGCGACGCCGCGUGAGUGAUGAAGUAUUUCGGUACGUAAAGCUCUAUCAGCAGGAAAGAUAAUGACGGUACCUGACUAAGAAGCCCCGGCUGACUACGUGCCAGCAGCCGCGGUAAUACGUAGGGGCAAGCGCUAUCCGGAUUUACUGGGUGUAAAGGGAGUGUAGGUGGCGUGGCAAGUCAGAUGUGAAAGCCCGCGGCUCAACCGCGGGACUGCAUUUGAAACUGUCAUGCUAGAGUGCAGGAGAGGAAAGUGGAAUUCCUAGUGUAGCGGUGAAAUGCGUAGAUAUUAGGAGGAACACCAGUGGCGAAGGCGGCUUUCUGGACUGUUACUGACACUGAGGCUCGAAAGCGUGGGGAGCAAACAGGAUUAGAUACCCUGGUA
rnacentral:rRNA from 1 species